UGAUUAGCCUGAUUAUUGUCUUAUUAAAUUAAAUAAUUGUCUGUCACUGAAGUGCCAAUUGAUGCGCAGCGGACUCAAGCUUCUAUGUCGAGGAUGAUGGGGAUGAGGAUGUUAUAUUCGAGGAGGAUGAUGAAGAAGAUGAGGGUUAUCUCUUUACAGGGCAAGAUGGUGAAUCCGACGACGAUGUCGAUGUUUCUUUGGUUGAAGAUGAUGCCGAUGUGCCGGAUGUAAACGAUCUCUUUGGCAAGGUGUAUGACAAUGUACCAUCCGAAACACAUAUGCUUGAGCCGGUUGAGAACUGUGAACAUUGCAAUGCAAAGAAGUUUAAG